rnacentral:lncRNA from 1 species
AUUAAGAAACCGUUUUGCUGUCAAAUCACCAGCAACGGCCUCCCUUCCGACCUAGGUCGAGUUCACCUCCGAUCACCCUACCGACACCGCCGCUCUCCAUCCGAUCAGCCCACUGAUCUCGCCGUAUCAAGCAUUCUACCGGUCAGCUUAACAGCUAAUCACCGGAAGAACUCAAUCUUGAUUUCAGGAGUAUAUCUCUGAAGUCUGAGCUUAGGAUAUUCUUGAUCUACGAUCAGGGAUCCGAAGCACCUCGUAACAUCAGGUCUAUCUCCCCAUUUUGCUUCCUAAUUAAAUAGGUUGCAUCAUUUGGUGCUUUCAACUUUUUUUUUUUUGAAACUCACUUUACAGGAUGACAACAAUCGAUCUGGCAGCACAUUGAUACGAUGGGUAUUACUUAUGAGAUGAUAUCCAAUGAUGUUCAGAGGAAGAUCAAAGCAGGGGACGCUAAAUCCCUAACUGGAACCGAAUUGGGGGAGGACGACGGUCUGGAGCAGUUUAACUCCCACGAACCCGGUCAGACUCAAGUUGGUGUGAAGAAAUCGGACCGCAUACGAAAGAGGCCGAGCCAUCUUUCGGAUUACGUUGUGGGCUGAGAUGCUGUGAAUUAGUCCAGCAAGUAGAAAGUUAAAUUUAAAUAAAUUGCAGAACAGACCUUAAGUUUAAUUAAAAGUUGUAAUAGGUCAGUAGUAUAAAUGCUGUAAUGAUUGGGGAAAUCAAUAUCGAAAAUUGAACCAGAAUAUUCCGCCUCCUCUCAAUUUCACAACGCAAAAACCCUCCAUCAGGCAUCUCUGUCGACAUCGUUGCCGGAUCUACUUCAACAUCAAGCCGCAUUGAGCACUUUGUUGAUUGGCUUAACAACAUUAAUCAAUCAGGGCUG